GACGAACGCUGGCGGCGUGCUUAACACAUGCGAGUCGAACGGAAAGGCCCUGCUUUUGUGGGGUGCUCGAGUGGCGAACGGGUGAGUAACACGUGAGUAACCUGCCCUUGACUUUGGGAUAACUUCAGGAAACUGGGGCUAAUACCGGAUAGGAGCUCCUGCUGCAUGUUGGGGGUUGGAAAGUUUCGGCGGUUGGGGCUGGACUCGCAGCUUAUCAGCUUGUUUGUGUGGUAGUGGCUUACCAAGGCUUUGACGGGUAGCCGGCCUGGGAGGGUGACCGGCCACCUUGGGACUGAGAUACGGCCCAGAAUCCUACGGGAGGCAGCAGUGGGGAAUAUUGCACAAUGGGCGGAAGCCUGAUGCAGCAACGCCGCGUGCGGGAUGACGGCCUUCGGGUUGUAAACCGCUUUCGCCUGUGACGAAGCGUGAGUGACGGUAAUGGGUAAAGAAGCACCGGCUAACUACGUG
rnacentral:rRNA from 1 species